rnacentral:rRNA from 1 species
AUUGAACGCUGGCGGCAGGCCUAACACAUGCAAGUCGAGCGGAUGAAGGGAGCUUGCUCCUGGAUUCAGCGGCGGACGGGUGAGUAAUGCCUAGGAAUCUGCCUGGUAGUGGGGGAUAACGUCCGGAAACGGGCGCUAAUACCGCAUACGUCCUGAGGGAGACAGUGGGGGAUCUUCGGACCUCACGCUAUCAGAUGAGCCUAGGUCGGAUGAGCUAGUUGGUGGGGUAAAGGCCUACCAAGGCGACGAUCCGUAACUGGUCUGAGAGGAUGAUCAGUCAGAUGGGAACAGAGACACGGUCCAGACACCGAGAGGAGGACGCAGUGGGGAAUAUUAGAGGAGGGGGGAGUGGCGAAUCCAGGCAAGCGGGGGAUAGGAAGAAGGACCUCUGAUGGGUGAGCGCUGAAGGUUGUGGGGUAGUGCAGUAAUUUAAUACCGGGCGAUAAUGACGGUACCGACAGAAUAAGCACCGGCUAACUUCGUG